rnacentral:rRNA from 1 species
GACGAACCGUGCGAACGUUGUUCGGAAUCACUGGGCUUAAAGGACGCGUAGGCGGGUGACCAAGUCAGGGGUGAAAUCUUUCGGCCCAACCGGAAAAGUGCCUCUGAUACUGGUCGUCUUGAGGGAGGUAGGGGUCGAGGGAACUGGUGGUGGAGCGGUGAAAUGCGUAGAUAUCACUAGGAACGCCGGUGGCGAAAGCGCUCGACUGGACCUCUUCUGACGCUGAGGCGCGAAAGCCAGGGGAGCAAACGGG